AAACGGGUGCUGGUGGGUUGACGAGUUCGUCUUGUUGACCUGUCGGCAUGCUUCCGGAUGCCUUUAAACGGGUGUCGGGAGCGGACGGCAUCUUUACUUUGAACAAAUUUGAGUGCUCAAAGCAGGCCUGUGCGCCUGAAAAUUCUUGCAUGGAAUAAUGAAAUAGGACUUCGGUUCUAUUUUGUUGGUUUUCGGAUCCGAAGUAAUGGUUAAGAGGGACAGACGGGGGCAUUUGUAUGGCGGUGUUAGAGGUGAAAUUCUGGGAUCGCCGCCAGACAAACUACAGCGAAAGCAUUUGCCAAGAAUGUUUUCAUUGAUCAGGAGCGAAAGUCAGAGUUUCGAAGACGAUCAGAUACCGUCGUAGUUCUGACCAUAAACGAUGCCAACUGACGAUCCGCGUUGGUUCUAUAAUUGACAUCGCGGGCAGUCCCCGGGAAACCUUUAAGUCUUUGGGCUCCGGGGGGAGUAUGGUUGCAAAGCUGAAACUUAAAGGAAUUGACGGAAGGGCACCACCAGGAGUGGAGCCUGCGGUUUAAUUCGACUCAACACGGGAAAACUCACCCGGCCCGGACACUGUGAGGAUUGACAGAUUGAUAGCUCUUUCUUGAUUCGGUGGAUGGUGGUGCAUGGCCGUUCUUAGUUGGUGGAGCGAUUUGUCUGGUUAAUUCCGAUAACGAACGAGACUUUAACCUGCUAAAUAGUAGACUGGUCCUCUGUGCUCGUUUAGGGCGCGGCUUCUAUUGCUUCUUUAUGGAGUAGUGUGGUCGUGAUCCGGCGGGUGCGGUGCCAGUUUUUACUUCUUAGAGGGACAAGCGGCACACUUAAGUCGCACGAAAUUGAGCAAUAACAGGUCUGUGAUGCCCUUAGAUGUCCGGGGCCACACGUGCGCUACAAUGACGGUGCCAGCGAGUCUGGAAACCUGGCCCGAAAGGGUUGGGCAAACUGUUUCAUCACCGUCGUGACUGGGAUCGGGGCUUGCAAUUAUUCCCCGUGAACGAGGAAUUCCUGGUAAGUGCAAGUCAUAAGCUUGCGCUGAUUACGUCCCUGCCCUUUGUACACACCGCCCGUCGCUACUACCGAUUGAAUAGUUUAGUGAGGUCGUUGGAUUGGUGUCGUUGUAGUGGCGUUGCCGCUCGACUGAUGCUGAGAAGAUGACCUAAUUUGACUAUUUAGAGGAAGAAAAAGUCGUAACAAGGUUUCCGUAGGUGAACCUGCGGAAGGAUCAUUA
rnacentral:ncRNA from 1 species